ensembl:lncRNA
GUUUUAACGCCGUUUAACACGUCUACAUAUAAAUACCAGGAAAUAAAAAAAAACUUUCUCCUCAUAUUCAUCUUUUGAUCUCAAACCCAAAUGUCUUCAGUCUACAGCAAGAACAAAUGACCCGGCCUUGCCGUUCCAGUAGUUUCAGAGGGGACUGUAUGAACUGAGUGCAUUCCUGCUGCAUUCUCAGGGAACAAUAGCUGGCCUUCUUACAGGAAGUAAAAAUUGUGAUUUCACACAAGCAUGUGAUGAAACACAGCCUUGAAUGUGAAACACCUCAUCGAGUAUGUAGGAAAGAAUGGAAGACAAGACGAGAAAGAAUCAGUCAUCUCCAGAGGAGCGUUGCAGUUUGAACAGCGCCGAUCUUUGGCUUGCAGGUGGUGGCUCAGGUGAAUAACGGCGGCGGGGGAUUCAAUGUGUCCGUUCAGCCAAAGCAGUCCCUCUGUGAUGGUGUGUUCCACAGAAUAGCGGGUAAAUCCUACCAUUAAAUACGUCGAAGCAUCAACUGUCUACGGACUAAAUGUCAUUAUGUGUAGAGAUUAGACUAUGAGAAAUGGAAAGCUUCCCUAGAUUUUUAUUAUUCCGAUUUCACUCAUCAUAUUAUUGCUCCCCUCUGUUAGUAAUCCAGCGGAACAAUGUGGUAGAGAUGCACGUGGACACAGAGGGCAGGUAUACGAUCGGCCUGAGCUCGUCUUCCCCCACCAAGGACAGAUUUCCUGUUUAUGUGGGUGGAGUUCCAGAUCGUCAAAGGUUCUCAUUCCUCCCGGUUACCGAAUCCUAUGUUGGGUGUCUCCAAAACAUGGUCUUUAACAGGGACGUGGUGGUGUUUGACAAGCUCGCGGCGGUAUUCGGACCUGUAAACGUGCGAGAGUGUCCAGCUAACUUGACAGCGCCUUCUCCACAGUGAAGACAUUUCCACAGCUGUAGGAUUAGAAGAGUAAGCCCGGAAAUCAUGAGAAAUUAUAGCGUAAUACGUUUCCCAACUCCGUCCUGUAGUCCACUGUCUGAUAGCUUCGUCUUUCAUCGCCGUUAGAUACAAAAGUCACAUAAUUGCCAUAUAUUGAAAUAAAUGUGGACAGAGGUGAAGCAAAAACAAAACACGACCUCCAUGGGGCUUUCAAUUGGGUGAAUGUACUUAUUGACCUGAAGUGUAAUACUGCCUAUUUAUUUACUAGCUGGUCUCGUUUGCACACUAUUUAUACUGUACACACAAUAUUUAAGUCUUUUAUGAUAGCGGAAGUGAAACGUGAGGUGUCGUACUGUAACUUUGACCAUUGUGGGUAAUGUUUACCACCUGAUUUACAUUUCUACAAGCUGUAUUAUAUUUGGUGUAAAGACUUAUUAGGUAAGAUAAUGGACCAUUUUUUUUUUUUUUUGUAAUAUUGUUGGUGGUGCUUGAAACGUGUGAAGAAAUUAAAGUAACUUUUCUCACACAGGUCUGUUUUGUCUACUGUUUUCUUUGCAGGCCCUUUACUAUUUCCAAAAUUCAUUACAAACCUCAUAUAUAUAUAUAUAUAU